AGCGACCCACCUGGACGGUCGCUGCAGCCGGGGUCGCUAAAAGUUUUAGCGACCCACCUCUGUAUUAGCGACAGACUGUGAGUUGCUAUUGAGAACUAUAUAGCGACCCACUGUGGGAUUGUAUAGAGUACAUUAGCAACCAACUAAAGGUCAGUGAUUCCUGACACCAGCAUAUAAGUAAUAGUAUUAAUUAUCGCUAUUGACAAUAAUUAUUAGUAUUAAUAGGAAUUAUUAGUAUCAAUGUUGACCAUCACAAAUACAAUAUCACUUGAUUAUAUUGAGUACUAAAUGGUCCAUUCCAUCACAAAUUGUCAUAAGUCAUGAGCUAAACAAUAACUAGAUUAGCUUACAAUAUCAAUCGUCAUAAGCUGUGCAUUAGCUAAACAGUAGCUAGAUUUAGUUACAAAAGAGCUGUUUGCAUUCUUGCAAAUAUAUCAUUGCAUUCAUCAUGCACAGUAUCAUUCACAAAACAACUAGCUAGCUAGCAGCUUGCACAUAUAUUUCUUGCCGCUCACAAAAAGGAAGCUCCUGCCAUGAGUUGCGAGCUUCCAGCUGAACCUGCCCUGUGAUUGACUUGAUCAUGUCCCAACAUGCCCUGUGAAGUAAUUACAAGACUCCAAGUUACCACAUGGCUAGAAAAAUAACCAGAAAUAUAUGCACUUUGUUACACUAUCAUCAAUACUAAAUAUUAUGCACUGUCAGGAUAAAUAUUCUGCAAAAUCACUUCAAUCUAGGAUAGAAAGAGCCCCAGAAAAUAAUAUGCACUGGCAGUAUUUGGCAGAAAUGAGUCACAAGUUUGAAGAGGGAGGACAAGAAAAUACUAUACAUUGGCAGUUUCCAUAUACUAGCUAAUUAAUCAACUUGGAUUGUGAGAAUGACUUAUUCUUUGAUCAUAUAACAUGAAGAGUUAAUAGCACCAGUUUUACAGAAAUGAGGUCCACAAAACCAAUGGAACCAUAUCUGACCACAUGUUCAGCUACCAUUUUUUGCAAUGUACUUCCUAGUUACUACUAAAUUACAGAAGGAAAAAAAAUCUCAGAUAUUGUAUCAGGUUUUAACCAAAACCAAAUGAUGACAAUCACGAAAAAAAUAACUCCAAGUAUAUGUGCUUUCUGUCCUCAUUCUUGCCAAAAAAAUAACGUGCAGAUCACAAUCACGAAUGGGAGAAGCAUGCACUACAACCAGAAAAAAUAACAGCAAAUCACAAUCAUGAAAGGGAGAAGCAUGCACUACAACCAAAGACACCACCAGAAACACCACCAGCAAGUAUAUGUGCUUUCUACCUAAUCUGAACUAGAUCAACCUGCAGAAGAACAAGCAAUCGGCAUCAUGCUAGCAUCAGCCAAAGUCUCCAUACCAUCAUAUGGACGAGGAAGAAUUGUAUCCCU